UUCGUCCCCACAGCGGCUGCUCAUCCGCCCCCACCCCCCAAGCGCUGGAGCUGACGCUGUGGGAGCAGCAGCGCGGGACUGGGCCCUGGAAGCCCGCUGGAGCCGGGACCCAGGCCCCUCAGCUGUUUUCUUCAUCUGGGCAAGUCAAGGGGCCAGCCCAACCUGGAUAGGGUCUGUCGGAGAGAAACUCAUCUGUGCUAAAGCCUAAUUCCUUUCUGUGGCUACUGUAACACAGAUUCCACAUGGGUGCCCGCACCCCUUCCAGAGAGCAGAGAUCAUGGGGUUUUCAGUGUCCAUCCUGAACACGCAUCAGCCACCAACACCAAAAGGGAGGGACAGUCCCGGCCAGAGCCCCUGAGCCUAUGUCAGGUUCAUCCCCAAGAGCCUGUCACCCACCCAAGGCCCCAGGAGAGCUGUUGCGUUGGUAACAGCAGAAGUGGAGCAGGGAGGUGGUAGAUGCCCAUCUCCCGGUGAGGGAAGUGGGACCCAAUGGCUCUGCCCGUGCAGUAGCUGACGAGGUCAGGGCUGUCCCCGGCACCUGACCUCACAUCUGGGGCAGAACAGCACCCUGACCUUCCAGAAAUAGCCAUGCCGGUACCUUAUUUGCCCCCAGCUGAUGAGCACCAAGUUGAGGAUGCCCUGGGGGACAGCCAUACUCCUGGUCACAGUGCAGGGCCCAGUGGUGGCCUUGGAGCCAUGGGUGUGUGGGGCAGCUGAGCCGGGGCCCAGCGUGUCCCCAGCUGCCACCAGGGACGUUGCAGGGGCAGCAGAGGCAGCUCUGGCCCUGCCCCCAGCCCCAACUCCUGAAGUCCCCCCACUCCACCUCCAAGGCCAGACCUGUCCUUCAUUUUCCUGGGAUAAUUUGUUUCUCUGCCAAUUUUCUCACUUCCUCGGCCCUGUUUGUCAUGUUCCUUAAUAAAAUGUAGUUUGUCACCCGGUGUGAAGUGUACAAUUCAGCACAGUGUGAGAUUCCCAGGCCAUUCCUUCCCCACCCACCUCUCGCUGCAGAACGCGGCCAACGCCAAGGACUGGGAUCCUCUGGAGGGGACACUGACACAUCCCCGGGGCACAGACACUGCUGUCUGUCUUGGACAGGGAGCAGUGACUGCUGGGAAGGCCAAGGAAGACAACCAGCAGGGAGACACUGUCAUGGCUGGGGCAGCGCCUCCUCAUGGUCAGGGACGCGGGCUCUGGGGUCAGAUGGAACUGACCUGCAGUGGGACUGCCCAUGCAGCCUCAGUGUCCCCAUCUGUGAAAUAGGAUGGAGCCCCACCCGCAGACAUCACAGGGACAGGGAAUGGGAUGGCCUGCCCCUCCCUGCACACACUGGGAGCCCCCAGCUCCCGGGAUGAGGAGUGCACAGUGGGGAUAAGGAAGCAGGGGUGGGGCUUUCUCCCACUGAGGGCAGAGCCUCGGGUCGGGGCCAUGCUCACACAAGAGCCAGCACAGUCCCUGUUCCCGUGCUCAGCAGGGGGGCUGGCAGAAGCACAGCAGGGAUUCGCCCAGCUGUGGGAGCCCUGAUGUCCACAGCACAGGACAGGAAGUGGGCUGGGUCCAUGACCCCCACGUGACCUCAGACAGGCCACUGUGCAGGUGGAUCCUGGACAACCCCAACGACAGUGACCGGUCCUGUAUCUGACCUCCUGGGAUGUGCAGGGCCCAGGCCAGGCCCUGGGCACCACGUGUCACCCAUGGGAAAGCCACUGCUGUCACCCUGGGUUUGUAGAUGGGGAACAGCUCUGAGAGGGAAGCCCCUGCCCAGGUCUCGGCUGUGGUGGC